AGACAAUAGAUACCCGGGUAGUCCACACCGUAAACGUUGGGCGCUAGGUGUGGGACACAUUCCACGUGUUCCGUGCCGCAGCUAAACGCAUUAAGCGCCCCGCCUGGGGAGUACGGCCGCAAGGCUAAGACUCAAAGGAAUUGACGGGGGGCCCGCACAAGCGGCGGAGCAUGCGGAUUAAUUCGAUGCAACGCGAAGAACCUUACCUGGGUUUGACAUACACCGGAGAGCUGCAGAGAUGUAGCCCCUUUUAGUCGGUGUACAGGUGGUGCAUGGCUGUCGUCAGCUCGUGUCGUGAGAUGUUGGGUUAAGUCCCGCAACGAGCGCAACCCUCGUCUUAUGUUGCCAGCACGUAAUGGUGGGGACUCAUAAGAGACUGCCGGGGUCAACUCGGAGGAAGGUGGGGAUGACGUCAAGUCAUCAUGCCCCUUAUGUCCAGGGCUUCACGCAUGCUACAAUGGCCGGUACAAAGGGCUGCGAUACCGCGAGGUGGAGCGAAUCCC
rnacentral:rRNA from 1 species